UAACAAGGAUUCCCCUAGUAACUGCGAGUGAAGCGGGAAAAGCUCAAAUUUAAAAUCUGACGGUUUUGCCGUCCGAGUUGUAAUCUGGAGAAGCGUUUUCCGCGUUGGACUGUGUACAAGUCUCUUGGAACAGAGCGUCAUAGAGGGUGAGAAUCCCGUCCAUGCCACAGACUCCCAAUGCUUUGUGAUACGCUCUCGAAGAGUCGAGUUGUUUGGGAAUGCAGCUCAAAAUGGGUGGUAAGCUCCAUCUAAAGCUAAAUAUUGGCGAGAGACCGAUAGCGAACAAGUACCGUGAGGGAAAGAUGAAAAGCACUUUGGAAAGAGAGUUAAACAGUACGUGAAAUUGUUGAAAGGGAAACGCUGGACGUCAGUCGCGUCUUACUGGACUCAGCCUUGCCUCGGCUUGGUGUAUUUCCUGUGAGACGGGUCAACAUCGAUUUCGACCGGUGGACAAGGGGGUAGGGAAUGUGGCACGCCUCGGCGUGUGUUAUAGCCCUGCCUCGUAUGCAUCGGUGGGGAUCGAGGCCCGCAGCGCGCCUUUUUGGCCGGAGGUUCGCCUCACGUAUCGCGCUUAGGAUGUUGGCAUAAUGGCGUUCAGCGACCCGUCUUGAAACACGGACCAAGGAGUCUAACAUGCUCGCGAGUGUUUGGGUGGAAAACCCUUGCGCGAAAUGAAAGUGAAUGUUGAGAGCCUCCGCAAGGGGGUGCAUCGACGCCCGGCCCUGAAGUUCUCUGACGGUGCUGCGGUUGAGCGCGUAUGUUGGGACCCGAAAGAUGGUGAACUAUGCCUGAAUAGGGCGAAGCCAGAGGAAACUCUGGUGGAGGCUCGUAGCGAUUCUGACGUGCAAAUCGAUCGUCAAAUUUGGG
rnacentral:rRNA from 1 species